AAUAGGGUGCCUGAUAAAAGGGUUGUCUUGAUAGGGCAGACUAUGUGCGGUGCACCUCUAUUA
rnacentral:tRNA from 1 species